GAUGAACGCUGGCGGCGUGCCUAAUACAUGCAAGUCGAGCGAACAGACGAGGAGCUUGCUCCUCUGACGUUAGCGGCGGACGGGUGAGUAACACGUGGAUAACCUACCUAUAAGACUGGGAUAACUUCGGGAAACCGGAGCUAAUACCGGAUAAUAUAUUGAACCGCAUGGUUCGAUAGUGAAAGACGGUUUUGCUGUCACUUAUAGAUGGAUCCGCGCCGCAUUAGCUAGUUGGUAAGGUAACGGCUUACCAAGGCAACGAUGCGUAGCCGACCUGAGAGGGUGAUCGGCCACACUGGAACUGAGACACGGUCCAGACUCCUACGGGGGGCAGCAGUAGGGAAUCUUCCGCAAUGGGCGAAAGCCUGACGGAGCAACGCCGCGUGAGUGAUGAAGGUCUUCGGAUCGUAAAACUCUGUUAUUAGGGAAGAACAAAUGUGUAAGUAACUAUGCACGUCUUGACGGUACCUAAUCAGAAAGCCACGGCUAACUACGUG
rnacentral:rRNA from 1 species